rnacentral:misc_RNA from 1 species
GAUGAAGAACGUAGCGAAAUGCGAUAAGUAAUGUGAAUUGCAGAAUUCAGUGAAUCAUCGAAUCUUUGAACGCACAUUGCGCCCCCUGGCAUUCCGGGGGGCAUGCCUGUCCGAGCGUCAUUACAACCCUCAAGCUCAGCUUGGUGUUGGGCCCCGCCGCCCCGGCGGGCCCUAAAGUCAGUGGCGGUGCCGUCCGGCUCCGAGCGUAGUAAUUCUUCUCGCUCUGGAGGUCCGGUCGCGUGCUCGCCAGCAACCCCCAAUUUUUUUCAGGUUGACCUCGGAUCAGGUAGGGAUACCCGCUGAACUUAAGCAUAUCAAUAAGCGGAGGA